GGAGAUGUGGCUCGACUGGUAGAGUGCUUGCCUGGCACACAUGAAGUCCUGGGUUCAAUCCCCGGUGCCCCCA
rnacentral:tRNA from 1 species